AGAGGUGGGAGGGCUCUUCCUGCCCAGGGGAGGCUUCCCAGGAGUAUGAGGGAUUUACAAUCACCUCCUCUCGCUCCCUGUCCUCUGCAGAGCUGCCCUGAAGGCCAUGUGCAGUGGCAGGCUGCAGACAGCUUUGCUGGUGGCUGGCUACUUUGUCUACCUGCUGGUAGGUGCUGCUGUGUUCCAGGCCCUGGAGAGGACUGCUGAGAAGCAGGAGAAAAUGGCAGCUGCCCAGAUGAAGGAGGCUUUUCUGCAGAACUUCACGCAGCUCACGGUGGCAGAGAUGGAGCAGUUCAUGAAGAACCUGAUUGAAGCCAUUCAAAAUGGAGUAUACCCUGUUGGAAAUGAAUCACAGUUUGAAGAGAGCAACUGGGAUUUCAGCAACUCCUUCUUCUUUGCAGGCACAGUUGUCUCCACAAUAGGCUAUGGCACAUUACAUCCUAAAACUGCUGGGGGACAGAUCUUUUGCGUGUUUUUUGCACUUUUUGGAAUCCCUCUGAACAUUGUUUUUCUGCACCGUGUUGGUAAGAUGCUCUCACUGCUCUGUAAAAAGCUGGGGAAAUUCCUGUACGAGAAAGGAAUGAGAAAGAAGAAGAUCAAAUUUCUGACCCUUUUGUUCUUCCUGGCAACGGGGAUCCUGGUUUUUCUGUGCUUGCCAUCAGUCUUCUUCCAGAUAACAGAGGGCUGGUCCUACAGUGAAGGAAUUUACUUUGCAUUUAUAACCCUCAGCACCAUUGGCUUCGGAGAUUAUGUAGUAGGCAAACAGUCUGACAGGAAAUACUUUUCCUACUAUCGAGUGCUGGUGGCCAUUUGGAUUCUUUUUGGCCUUGCCUGGAUUGCUCUGCUGUUUAAUUUAUUGACAACAGUACUAGAAGAUACUGAAAAAAUAAUUGUCAAGGAUCUGCAGCAAAUUGGAAAGCCUUCAAGUUGGUGAUGGGAUGAAGGAUGGAUGCAGCAGAGCUCGCUACAGUCCCAGAAAUGCAUGGGCAGCUCCUGAAGAACAUGGCCCAGCAACGAGGCCUACAAAGUGCUUAAAGGCUGAAUUACACAUUCCUGUGUCCCAUCCAGCUGAUGAGCUGAGAAAUGGAGCAAUCAGCCCUGUAUAAAGGAUCUGAGAGCAUAGGCACAGGUGUUCCCUGAGAAAGAAGACAAUGUGAUCUCAAGUCUCUGCAGUAAGGUCAGUGUUGACUUUUCAAGGAAUUGGUUGUCUCCUCUAUUUCCCUCGGCUUGUUAAGUUCAUUUUAUGGCUCUCUUUCAGCAAUCUAAAUUUCCCUGUCUAGAAAAAAAAAAAACCAAAAGGCUUAAAAAAUCCCAACUCUGCCUCUUCUUCCCUUGAACUCUGCCCUCUCCUUACUGCCCACAAGAUUGAGUGCAUUCAGCAUUUGUGGAGAAGAAAAAGACCCUCAGCGCAGCGCAAAGCUGGCAUUUACAUUGUCCCUGUCACAGCGUGGAGCUGUGACGCAGAAUAAAGUCACAAGCAGAGCCAAGCAUUGAGGCAGCAGAGGUGUGGGACCCAAGGGACCCUGCUGGUCACCCUUCCAGGGCUGCAGAGGGGUGUGCAGGGUGGCAGAGCACCCUCCAACCUAACUUUGUACCUGCAGAAAACUGGCAGGAUAUCUGGGGGCUGUUUGUUUAAACACACCCUUCCCCCUGAACAUGACAUUAAAUAAAUAUCACAAAAGGGAAUGCCAGAUUGGGCUGGGGAAUGCUUGUAGGGUACAGAGGUGUUGUUCUUACAUGAAAAGACCCUCAGGCUUCUCCUGCACCAAAGUUUUCAUCCUCACAAAGUUUGAGCAGGGUCUGGAGGGAUGGUGACACGGAAGAUUAAUGGAUCUCUCCCAGCCAUAGGUUGUCAGUUAAGUCAAGCACUGCUAAUGCAGGAUGCUGUCCUGAGACCUCUGUUAGCCCAAUGACAAAGCUUUUUUUAAGUCCUCUGUGUAAAAGGCAUAAUCCUUGUAUGCCAAUGGAUCAUAUCCUCGAGAUCCCUAGGGAGCAAGGCAAAUGUGGAAAGAAAGGGAAAGGAAAUCCCUUAUUUCAUAAUGGUGCAAACAGACAUGUCAGGAGAAUUACAUCAAUAUGCAGCACAUGUGAAAUUUAAUACUCCUCCUAAUGCAUUUAGAUGAGGCAAAAUGUAAAGUCUGUACUGCCUCUGGGAAUAAUUCUGGUAGGAAGCUUUCACCACCAGGAACCAAGGUCUUUCUACUUACUCUGGAAUUUGAGCCUUUGUUUUCAAAGCCUUCCUGAGAGACUUCAAAAUCAAGUUUGUUACGUGUGCAUUACUCUUUGAAGAUCUGUCUUCCAGAAUGAAACACCAGUGCUCUUCCCAGCCAUGCUGGUGUAAAUGAAGAGCAGCAUGGUUGAAAAUCAGUCAAAUAUUCACAAGGGCCCAUCCAGCCUGCAAAAGAGGAGAGGCUUUGCACCGCAGAAAACCAAGAUAAGCAAACACAACAGAGCUCUUAUCCUUUGGCUGAUAUCAGCUGGCAUUGCUGCAGAGUCCAUCAGAUCUGCAUGGCUUUCCACCAGCUUUGACUGUGACCCAUAAGGCUCUCAAAGGCUUAUAAACACAAUAUUUGAUUUGGAGUCCUUGCAGACAGGAGGAGCCUGAAGUCUUCUCGCUGGUUUCCCUCCCUUUUAUCAAACCAUGGAUAUGGAAUUCAGCAAAGGAUACAGCUCAGAUGUGGCUUGAAUUCAGACAAGUGACUUGAAGUGAUGAUUUUCCCCCCUACCAGGCUGCAGAUGAUCGAUGUAUUAUGCAUGAAAAUAGUGCCAGGCACAGAUGGGGUGGGAGUAGAAGGUGUGAGCUGAUAAUGACAGCAGCCAAGUUCUGCUAGAAAAGACUCUACAACACACUUGCAUGUUGGGCAGAAAAAGGAUGCAACAUGCAUGAGAGGCUAGCCAUGGUUUAAAGGGUCAAACAGAUUAAUUACAGUCAAAACUGAGAUUUAUGCAAAGAUUUGAGUGGCAUGGUUGCCAGAGGAACAGGGGAUUAGCCUUGAUGAUUCAAGGAAUCAUCUUCCAAUCUUGUGUUCUUGAAUAACCAUUAGGGAGCUGAGUAAAACACAUUUUUUGGGGUUUAAAAGCUGAAGACAGGGAAUCCAAAGGGGUGACAUAGUUCUGCAUCAGAUAUUGCCUUCAGCAGGAUCCUGGCUCGUGCUCAGCACAGUGCUGAGAACUUGGCACCAGGUCCAAAGCUGAAACAAACAGGAAUUUCAUCAUGGACAUUUCUAGGGUUUGGAUCCAAGCCACUGAAGACCAGCAUGUGAGGCCUAAUCCCGUAAAAACAGUCAAUGUUUGGAUGGGAAACAUGUCACUGAGUUGGAGCCAGGUGUGUGCAGACUUCCGUGGGAGGAUGAGUCAAGAGAGCUCUGGCAUCAUCUGCAAAAGGACCUGAUGCUGUGGGAGAGAGCUUAGCAAGUGUAAAAAACCAUGAGGAAGCAGUGAUGGUCCAAAGAAAAGCCCACAAUUUCCCUGGUUGUCCUUGGAGCAUUCUGGAGAUCAUUGCAAGACCAGGCACUUGAAAUAAGCUGUUUCCCUUCUACCUCUGAGCCAUGAGACAGGGAUGGUCUGUUCCUCACACAGCUCCUCUGGAGAAACUCCAGCCUUGAGCACAGAACUGACAGCUGGCAAGAUGCCAUUGGCUUUGCCAAAUCUGACCACAGCUGGUCCCUGAUGCAAUAAAAUGUUGAAUCACCAGAAUCUGAGAAUGUGAUUGUCUGGAGGGCCACCAAGAAAAAUCAGCAAAGACUUGCCGGCAACUUGCAAUGCAUUUGCCAGUUCCAGGCUCCGUGGAAACCUGACCUGUCAAAUUUCCUCCAAACAGGGCUCAGAUGCUUGAAUUUGCCAGUGUGGAAAAGCAUUUCUGAUAACGCUGCCCAACUUAAGCUUGCAAAGAAACCUCAAGUAGAGAGAGCCUCACAACGAAUAAGGGUUUGUCUCACAAAAUUCCCAUACCCCAAAGGGUUACAACCCACUCACCAAAAACCAAGAGCAAAUGUGUGACAGAAAGGAUGCAUUGGGAUACUGGGAGUAGCUCAGCAUCCAUGAUGGCUCAUGAGUGACCAUCAGCUCUGCCAGCCACUGGACUGGGUUUUUUCUGCUUCCCCUCCAUCUGCCAGCUCAGCAAGACAUCUCCACAGGGAUCCACACAUAUCCUGAGACACCUUCAAACAGGGUUCCCUGUGACUGUAGCCCAACACAGUUUCCCUAAAGUACAGUUUCACAACCCCAACAGUUUCCCUAAAGUAUAGGAGAACCUGAAGGCCUUCAGUCAAAUCAGUUUCACUGGUUGCCCAGAAAAAAGCUGUGGCUGCCCCAUCCUUGGAAGAGCUGGAUGGGGCUUGGAGCAGCCUGGUGUCAUGGAAGGUGUCCCUGCCCAUGGAGCUGGCAGGGGAUGGAACAGGGUGAUCUGUAAGGUCCCUUCCAACCCAAACUAUUCUGUGCUUUCUAUGGUUAUUAUGAAUUCACUAGUUUUACACCCAAUCAAGACCUGCCACACUGAAAAGCCCCUUCAUUCUCACUCUAGUUGUCCCUAGGGUCACAUUUUGGGGUGUUAGCACCAUCGAGACCUACACAUCAGUCCAGAUCUGUCCUCCAUCUGUCCUACAUCCUUAUCUCAUGUGUUUUCAAGGAGCUCAGCAGAAAUAUAUGGAUCAAAGUUAAUCGAUAAUACCACAGCCCUUUCACCAUAUUGCUUUCACUACAUUACUGCAUCCUUUAAAAACAGAAAUCUUAGCAGACCGCAGUACAAUGCCAGACAGACUGUCACUUCCAAAUUAUGUUUAUUUAUUCUCUCUCUGCCUCUUGGCUGGCCCCAUUACCAGCAUAUCUCAGUGUCUCUCAGCCAUCAGCAUAUUUGCCUCCCUUCCCUUCCCCCUACCCCGAGGUACGUCUCCUCUCAAGUACAAAGUGGACUGACACGGCAAGUUUUUGAGCCUAUUUAACACCAGCUUUAUCUGAGGAGAACUAGAUUCAGUGACAGAGCCUCAGAAUUAAUUACACGAAGGUGAAUUCCCGUCACAGAGCCUGGCACAGUGUCACUGCAAACAUUUUAACAGCCAGUCCCUGGCCCUCGACUGCCUUUGUGCAGUGUAAAGCAAUUAUUUGUACCUGCUUGGUGAAACGUGUCAGUCCCUUCAGAGGUGCUGCGACACAGCAAACACGAUUCAACCCUUGUUAUUCACCAGGAAAAGGGUGUGUGGUGGAUCUUGGCUCUGCACAAAGUCACUACUGCUCAAGAUCAAGCUCUUCAGGGAUCUGAAUGCAGCAGUUUGUGUACUAUCCACAUGAAGAAUACCUUGCAGAUGAGGCCCAGUGAUGUGGCCAAAAGCAGAAAUGGGACUUGAGGCCAAGGAAACAAAGUGUGAAUCUCAAACAAGCACGUCCUUGCUGAGCCCCACCAGCAGGGAGGAAUGGAAGACUGAACCCCCUCUUUCAUCUCCCUUUUCCUUUUCUCUCCCUUUUCACCUCCUGCAUCCCAAGGGUACCCCUGGUGGAAACUCUUUACAACCCUCACCCCAGGUCCAACUGCUUCCCCUUGCUUCAGCUGUUACAGCUGACACAUUCUUACCACAUUCCUUCUUUAUUCUCAUCGCAAAAAAAAAAAAAAAAAAAAAAAAAAAAAAAAAAAAAAAAGAAAAAGAAAAAAAAAAAAAAAAAAAAAGAGGACAUGUUCUGAGGUUUUCUUUACAUACCUUUAUUACAAAUUUGCACAGAGCUGAGCUGACACUAGGGUUAACCUGUAAAGUCCAUUAGAGAUGAUCCUAGGAGACCAGGGGGAAAAUAAGGAAAGUUGCAUUACAGCCUGGAGCAAGGAAGAGAAACUGUUUAUCCCUUCCACUGCAGCAUGCUCCAGGGCAAGGAAGGAGGGAUGGAGGGAUGAGAUGAGGUUUGUUACAAUGGAGAGCAAAGGGAAUUGACUGCAUAAAGGAGAGAUUGGGGCACAGGGCAGAAACAAGCAUUAGAGGGGACAUCUCUGCCUUUCCUGGAGGAAAGGAACUGUCUGCACAUCCCAAAUUCUCCCUCCACUGGGACUAGCAGAGACUGUGAGGCUCUUUUAAGAUCAGAGGCAGAUGAGAUUUACCCAGAGCCUUUGGGGUUUAGUCAGAGCUCCUGGACCUCCCCACACUGAAGAUCAGCUGUGGAGCACCUUGAGAUCCCCUGGGGAAGAAGUGCUGAGGACCAUAUUGCUCCUGGGCAGAAGGUUCCUCUGCGGGGUGUGUGGUUGCCUCCCCAUGCAGAGGGGGACAGGAUGAGCCAUCAGGCCAGCCCCAAGAAAGGAAGUUUUCCAGCUGAUGGGCAGGAAUAUGGGGCUAUUCUCAGUGAACUCCUCUGUGGUGCAGAAACAAAGUCCUUUCUCAUGAGGGAGGAAUUCAAUGGGCCUCUCUGGGAAUCAGCACCACAGCACGCAAAAGGUCAGGUCUUGUUCUGGAAGCCUUUUUUCCCUCUGCCAGCAGGAAAAAUAUUUUAAAAUAUCAUCUAAAGAACCCUGUUCCCCUGUACUCCCUUCCAAAUACAAAAAGGAGGAAAUUGCCUCAAUGUGGGGAGCAGUGCUGCGGUGGGGAUGGCAAAUCUCCCUGUCCAGCCCAUGGGAGCCACAUUCCCUUUGCACCUGACAGCUUUGUUAUUAAAAGACCAUGGCUAAUUAAGAGGGGAAGGAACAAUGGGAACAUCCUAUUCCCUCUGCAGGGCACGGUGCAGAGAUUGCCACAUCUGUGGAGACCCUGCCAGCAUCAUC